UACAGAGGGUGCGAGCGUUAAUCGGAAUUACUGGGCGUAAAGGGUGCGUAGGCGGUUUAAUAAGUUAAGUGUGAAAGUCCUGGGCUUAACCUGGGGAAGUCACUUAAGACUGUUAGACUGGAGUAUGGGAGAGGGUAGUGGAAUUUCCGGUGGAGCGGUGAAAUGUGUUGAUAUCGGAAGGAACGCCGGUGGCGAAAGCGACACACUGGGUCUCAACUGACGCUGAGGCACGAAAGCCAGGGGAGCGAACAGG
rnacentral:rRNA from 1 species